rnacentral:rRNA from 1 species
AGAGUUUGAUCAUGGCUCAGAUUGAACGCUGGCGGCAUGCCUUACACACGCAAGUCGAACGGCAGCGCGGGGCAACCUGGCGGCGAGUGGCGAACGGGUGAGUAAUAUAUCGGAACGUACCCUGGAGUGGGGGAUAACGUAGCGAAAGUUACGCUAAUACCGCAUACGAUCUAAGGAUGAAAGCAGGGGACCGCAAGGCCUUGUGCUCCUGGAGCGGCCGAUAUCUGAUUAGCUAGUUGGUGGGGUAAAGGCCUACCAAGGCAUCGAUCAGUAGCUGGUCUGAGAGGACGACCAGCCACACUGGAACUGAGACACGGUCCAGACUCCUACGGGAGGCAGCAGUGGGGAAUUUUGGACAAUGGGCGAAAGCCUGAUCCAGCAAUGCCGCGUGAGUGAAGAAGGCCUUCGGGUUGUAAAGCUCUUUUGUCAGGGAGGAAACGGUGUGGGCUAAUAUCCUGCACUAAUGACGGUACCUGAAGAAUAAGCACCGGCUAACUACGUGCCAGCAGCCGCGGUAAUACGUAGGGUGCAAGCGUUAAUCGGAAUUACUGGGCGUAAAGCGUGCGCAGGCGGUUUUGUAAGUCUGUCGUGAAAUCCCCGGGCUCAACCUGGGAAUUGCGAUGGAGACUGCAAGGCUAGAAUCUGGCAGAGGGGGGUAGAAUUCCACGUAGCAGUGAAAUGCGUAGAGAUGUGGAGGAACACCGAUGGCGAAGGCAGCCCCCUGGGUCAAGAUUGACGCUCAUGCACGAAAGCGUGGGGAGCAAACAGGAUUAGAUACCCUAGUAGUCC